GACGAACGCUGGCGGCGUGCCUAACACAUGCAAGUCGAGCGGAAAGGCCCCUUCGGGGGUACUCGAGCGGCGAACGGGUGAGUAACACGUGGGUAACCUGCCCUUGGCUCUGGGAUAACCUUGGGAAACCGAGGCUAAUACCGGAUACGACACGCGACCGCAUGGUCUGCGUAGUGGAAAGGAUUCUGGCCAGGGAUGGACUCGCGGCCUAUCAGCUAGUUGGUGGGGUAACGCCCACCAAGGCGACGACGGGUAGCCGGCCUGAGAGGGCGACCGGCCACACUGGGACUGAGACACGGCCCAGACUCCUACGGGAGGCAGCAGUGGGGAAUAUUGCGCAAUGGGCGAAAGCCUGACGCAGCAACGCCGCGUGAGGGAUGACGGCCUGGUU
rnacentral:rRNA from 1 species